AACGGCCGCGGUAUCCUAACCGUGCGAAGGUAGCGUAAUCACUUGUUCUUUAAAUGAGGACUAGUAUGAAUGGCACCACGAGGGUUAAACUGUCUCCUUUUUUUAAUCAGUGAAACUAAUCUCCCCGUGAAGAAGCGGGGAUUCUUUUAUAAGACGAGAAGACCCUAUGGAGCUUUAAACAAGUUAACACCUGCUACUAACCNNUUCACUUUCCUGAACCACCACACUAAGUAUAGCACCUCUGAUUAACAGUUUUCGAUUGGGGUGAUCAUGGAGCAAAAAUCAACCUCCACGACGAAAAGGAACACCUCCUUGAGCCAAGAGCUACAACUUUAAGCACUAAAAAACUAACGCACUUUGACCCAAUUCUUUGAGCAACGAACCAAGUUACCCUAGGGAUAACAGCGCAAUCCAUUUUAAGAGCUCCUAUCGACAAGUGGGUUUACGACCUCGAUGUUGGAUCAGGGUAUCCCAGUGGUGCAGCCGCUACUAAAGGUUCGUUUGUUCAACGAUUAAAACCCUACGUGAUCUGAGUUCAGACCGGAGUAAUCCAGGUCAGUUUCUAUCUAUAAAGGGCUUUUUCUAGUACGAAAGGACCGAAAAAGCAUGGCCUAUAACCCAUCAAGCCAUAUAAAUUACUAUUGUUCCCAACUUAAAUAGAAGUAAACCUACCACUUAUCUCGAUAAAAGAGAAGUUAACGUAGCAUAACCUGGCCUUGCAG
rnacentral:rRNA from 1 species